CAAUGAAAGCCACACAAGAAUAUGAGUCAUGAUUUCCUGUAGCUCUGCCACCCACCUGUAACACGAGUAAGAAGGACUAGCCAGGCUGGUUUUACCAAAACUCCAAUUUCCUAACCAAGUUUUUUAAUGCCUCUCAGCACUUUGGGAACUGCUUUUACUGAUGUAAGCUCCACACCUAGAACUAACCACAUGGAAGUUGCUUACAGUGAUCCAGUGGAGUCUAAGGCUCAUUACUCAUCUGCAAUUAAGGACCGGCUUAAAGUGUGGUUUAAGGACUGCAAAAAACUCAAUACAAUUCCUAGGUUCAUGGAACAGCAUACAUAGUAUCCCACCUUUUAGUUUGAUUCAGCUGUAUCUGAGAAUCACUACAAACUAUGAGACAGCAUAUUUCCUGUUCAAAUAACUAGAGACCCGUGGUCUUGAAGGUCUAUCAUAAAAACAUAUUAAAGACCAGUAUUUAUUUUACUACAUUAUUUUAAAUUCUUCUAAAGAAUUACUAAGAAUAAUACAAUGUGAAGCAACUAAGCACAAUUCAAGCAUGUAAGCCUGAAUUGAAACAGAAGCUCUCUUUUUAUUUGAAGAAUACAUUGUGUCACUGUGUCUUCUCAAAAGUCACAGCUCUUACUAAAUAUAGACAUUACUUUUAUUUUUAAAUCUAUAAAUAGAUGCUAGUGUAAUUCAUCAAUUAAGCAAGACCUAUAAGGAAUUUAGGAUUUUUCCCUUGCCCAGAGAUGUGAAAUGCCUGCUUUAUUUGUUUCAAAUGAAAGCUUAAACUCUGCAAAGUCAAAGGUAACCUUUUAGUGGCUAAAUGUGAUUGCAGGGCCAAAAAAAAGAGUUGUUUCAAAUUACGCAAAAGGACUUGAGUAACUGGAUUCUAUCAGUCUCUCUGGGAUGUUGAAAGGCUCAUUUAAGAAAGAAUGAAUGGGAAGUAUCUCCUAUGACAUGGAUCUUUUACAAGUUUAGCUGAAUAUAACAGUGCUGCAGUUCCUGCAAGUGCAAUGCAUACGUUUCUGAUGUCAUAUAACUAGUUUUAAAGAAUAGCAUAACACCAUAUCUGAAAGGUACACGUUAAACAAGUUGAGAAUGAUAAAUGAUGAAAAGCAGCCAUCAGUCAUCAACAACGUCUUGGGGAUCCUGGAAGUAUGGAGGAUCCAACAUACCCCUUGAUGACUCAGAUAUAGCUGUAAAACUGUGCUAAUAAGUAGCUCCAGAGAAACAAACUAGUAAUUAGCGUGGAUAAAUAGUCAUGCAGAGUGAUCUGCAUAAGCUGGAAAGCAAAGCAAAUUUGAACAAAAUGUAUUUUUGUAGAACAAAAGGUAGGCUGUCUCUUCCAAAGGAUAGACUGUAUUCUGGAAAAUACCAGUUCUGGAAAAAUCCUAGAUACCAUGUCCCAGCCAAGAACCAGUUUAGUGCGAGGCUCCCCCGUGAUAAGGCAAAAAGGGUGAAUGCAAUCUUUGAGUAUGGAGAAGUAUAUUCCAGUGUUACAUACAGAGAUAAAUUAUGCCCAGUGCUAAGGAGCCAUGUUUAAAAAAAAACAACAACUGUUGGCAAACCAACUGCCAGUGUUCCAGCCAGCAAAACACCUUGACAGGGGAAUCAGUCUCUCAUACAAGCAAGAAUUGACUUGUUGCACUUUAAAAGAUGAAUUAAAAACUCCAAAGAAAACCACAAAAAACCCAAACAAAACAAAAGAAUGCCGGGCUUUAAUGGUUAACAGCAAUGAUGAACAUUGGAAGAACAGAAUAUUAGAAAACAAGGCUAAAUAAGUUGAAUUUAGAAUUAAGGUACACUUUCUAAAAAAGCAAAUAUGAUUUAAGCAUUUGAAUAAAUUUCAAAAUAAAACUAUGGAUUUUUCAUUAUCUAUCUUCAAAUUAACACUCAAGUUUUUCUGGCAAGUACUUUAUGGUAAGUCAAGUUAGUUAUUGGAUUCAACACUGGUGAAAUCUAUCAUCUUGCACUACAUAGUGUCAGGCCAACUUAUCUAUCAGAUGAUUAAUGACUUGAUUUUAAUGUUACUGGUAACACUUUCAUGCAAUUGUCUACUUAUUCAAUCUCCAUGUCAUAGACUGAAAGGGAGGAGGGAAAUUUGGAAAUGAAACUUCAAAAAGAGUGAGUGGAAGUAACUUCUGAAGAUAGCACAGAGAGAAAAAUGGUCGAAGAGUAAAGCUGUUGGCAAAAUCUAGAUGUUUUCUUCAAUGUAUGUAUAGCUCCCAUAUAGUGAAGCUACAGGUAGCAACAGCCAUUUAAGUAAUUGUUUACUUUGUGUAUGACUGCCUACUAGCCAAGUUCCUCAUUCACGCUCAGACAACUUUCUUAUGAAGAUCAAUGAGCCAGCUUGCAGCUGAGGGAACCACAUCAACCUAAAUGGCUGCUACAGUCCAGAGCUGUAAUGUGACAUGACUUUUCUUUCACAGUGAACUUGUCGCCUCCAGUUUAAUUCACUUAGGUGUUACUGUCAUAGCUGUUGUUCAGGUAUUAACAAGUUUAAAUCAAGGUUGACUUUCUUAUCCAUCAGGAAUUGGUCAACACUCAACUAAAAGCAGUUACACGCUGUUUGGGGUUUGGCUUUCUCUACUAGUCACUACUAAUUCUAUGAUUGCUAGCAGAGCAGCUUCUGUGCAUUCUCUGUAGCUUAUUUUUUCCAGAAUCAGAUGCUUAUUCAGAGUAUAAGAAAUAACUCUAAUUUCCAUAUUCUUCCUUGAAAUUAUAAUGAUGCAGCAAUUUCUGCUUUAGUGUUCCUUUCAUUACAUUAUCUGAAAUGCCACUGUUUCAAUUUUAUAUUCGCUUACUCCUGGCCCAAUAAAUUUACCCAUUUCCCUGACUCUGCACAUACAUUCUUCACUGCCUGCUUGCUCAAUAGGUCAUCUGCCUUCAGUCCUAGCCAUCCUAUUUAGAGUACCUUGACUCCUUAAAUUUCUACAGUUUAGGGAAAUAUGGAAAUGGACAGGGAUAAAAUUUUAUCUAUUCUUUACUACCUUUCAUUUCUGUAUCAGCCAAGGCAACUUCUAAUAUCUGUUCUUUGAAUAUGACCUCAGAUUAAACAAUGGAACACACAUUCUAGAUGUAUUUCUAAGGUAAAAUAAACACCAGUAUUU